UUUUUUGACUAUCUAAUCAAUUCAUGAUUGUAGUCUUCAUUUGCUUUACUGUUUAAUUGUUAUAUCUAGCUGAUUGGGUUAGGUUAGUCUUUUGUCUGUCAACUGUUUGUAUUAUUUUGUGAAGCGACCUUGGGUUUUUGAAAGGCGCUAUAUAAAAUAAACAUAUUAUUAUUAUUAUAUUAUUAUUAUUAUUCCCACAAAGGUCGGUUCAGUGCUAGCUAGCCUGUAAUUUUAUUGCUUAGCUAAUGACAUUGACAAAGUUCAUUUUGUUUUCAAUAAAAUGACAUCUUUGUAAAAUGCAACUCUUCCACAAAUAUCAAAAUCUCUCAUCCUGACUAUUGUUUGCAAAGAAAAACAAUAUAUUUGCUAUCUCAUUGUAAAACGAUUAGAAGUCUACAUCCCUUGUUUCCUCUGCUGUUUGCUGAUGCCAGAGUUUAGUUCAGAGAGGAAAGCCUGUUCGGUACGCUCCAGAGUUUCAAUGAAAGGCGGCAUUACUGCUAUUCAGCGGCACCACAACACAAAACACAGAGCCUCAUUAAUGACAGCUAAUGUCUGCAAAUUCACCAAUCGUGACAGUAGAAGUCAGUGAAAACAAACUGAACACAACGGAACAACAUCAUUUAAAGACCCAUAAUCUUCAAUGUGAUAAAUGUUACAAACACGACAGUAUUGACGUCACUGUUCAACUCUGUGCAUAUGAAAAUAUCAAAACAUGAAAAUUCUUCACAUAUGUCAGCAGCUUUACAGAAGUGUAUAUAGCGUUCUUGUGAUAUCUGAUGCUAUGAUUUCCUUCAUUAGUGUGACAUCAGCUUCAUGUCCAGAGCUGGUUCAGUAGAUUAUCACAUAGCCCUCUGUAAGCAUGGCUUUGUUGCAAAAACAAUGAAGAUCCUUUUUUGUGCUGAGUAACACAUUCCAAGCAAGCAGCUUUUUUAUGCGUGUGACUUACAUGAGUGCCAUAUUAACAUCUAAUUGACAUUCUGUGGUGGAGGCUGUUUACAUUGGAGCAAAUUCUUUCCAGGCCUUCAGUCCAGAACGUUUAAUGAAGCUGUAGACGACAGAAGCUGUAGAUGACAGGUGGAGCUGGUGAUGAACACUCCUCUCAUGUGCAGCUCAGUUCACGGACUAGCAGAUGGAUUUGUGGAGUAGCCGAGAGAAGGACCCGUUGAGAGUCAAAUACAGCACUUUUCCUGGAUGGCAUUCUUCAAACAUAUAUCAGCGCGACCCUUCUACAGCCACUUUCCUGCAACACCGAACUACGAAGUACAACAGCUCAGCUGGAGAGCCGAAAACAUGGGCGACUUUGGGGACAGGAACUAGCUGGAAUAUUCCUGACAUUAAGAAGCAGACUGAGAUAUCAACUACAAAAUUCCCUUCACAAACCAAGUUAUCUCAGAGAGAAUUAACUGACUACACUGGUAAA